rnacentral:ncRNA from 1 species
GCAGAGUAGGCUUAUGUGCGUUAAGUGCUGGUUGAACAGGGAGUUGUCAGCCGGACGAAAAGGGUAUAACCCUUGCGGUACGUGGGCCGCAUCCCGCUGC